UACGUAGGGUGCGAGCGUUGUCCGGAAUUAUUGGGCGUAAAGAGCUCGUAGGCGGUUUGUCGCGUCGACUGUGAAAACCCGAGGCUUAACCUCGGGCCUGCAGUCGAUACGGGCAGACUAGAGUUCGGUAGGGGAGACUGGAAUUCCUGGUGUAGCGGUGAAAUGCGCAGAUAUCAGGAGGAACACCGAUGGCGAAGGCAGUGAUCUGGGCCGGUACUGACGCUGAGGAGCGAAAGCGUGGGUAGCAAACAGG
rnacentral:rRNA from 1 species